AUUGAACGCUGGCGGCAGGCCUAACACAUGCAAGUCGAACGGUAACAGGAAGAAGCUUGCUUCUUUGCUGACGAGUGGCGGACGGGUGAGUAAUGUCUGGGAAACUGCCUGAUGGAGGGGGAUAACUACUGGAAACGGUAGCUAAUACCGCAUAACGUCGCAAGACCAAAGAGGGGGACCUUCGGGCCUCUUGCCAUCGGAUGUGCCCAGAUGGGAUUAGCUAGUAGGUGGGGUAACGGCUCACCUAGGCGACGCUCCCUAGCUGGUCUGAGAGGAUGACAGGCACCCCGGAAACGAGACACGGGCCAGAAUCCUACGGGGGGCAGCAGGGGGGAAUAUUGGACAAUGGGCGGAAGCCUGAUGCAGGCAAGGCGGGGGGAUGAAGAAGGCCUUCGGGUUGUAAAGUACUUUCAGCGGGGAGGAAGGGAGUAAAGUUAAUACCUUUGCUCAUUGACGUUACCCGCAGAAGAAGCACCGGCUAACUCCGUG
rnacentral:rRNA from 1 species